rnacentral:rRNA from 1 species
GACGAACGCUGGCGGCGUGCUUAACACAUGCAAGUCGAACGGAAAGGCCCUGCUUUUGUGGGGUGCUCGAGUGGCGAACGGGUGAGUAACACGUGAGUAACCUGCCCUUGACUUUGGGAUAACUUCAGGAAACUGGGGCUAAUACCGGAUAGGAGCUCCUGCUGCAUGGUGGGGGUUGGAAAGUUUCGGCGGUUGGGGAUGGACUCGCGGCUUAUCAGCUUGUUGGUGGGGUAGUGGCUUACCAAGGCUUUGACGGGUAGCCGGCCCGAGAGGGUGACCGGCCACAUGGGGCCUGCGAGACGGCGCAGACUCGUACGGGAGGCAGCAGGGGGGAAUAUUGCACAAUGGGCCGAAGCCUGAUGCAGAGACGCCGCGUGCGGGAUGACGGCCUGCGGGUUGUAAACCGCUUUCGCCUGUGACGAAGCGUGAGUGACGGUAAUGGGUAAAGAAGCACCGGCUAACUACGUG